UACGGAAGGGGGCUAGCGUUGUUCGGAAUCACUGGGCGUAAAGCGCACGUAGGCGGAUCUUUUAAGUCAGGGGUGAAAUCCCGAGGCUCAACCUCGGGUCUGCAGUCGAUACGGGCGGACUGGAGUUCGGCAGGGGAGAUGGAAUUCCUGGGUGUAGCGGGUGAAAUGCGCAGAUAUCAAGGAGGAACACCGGUGGCGAAGGCGGGUCUCGUGGGCCGAUGACUGACGCUGAGGAGCGAAGGCGUGGGGAGCGAACAGGAUUGAGAAACCC
rnacentral:rRNA from 1 species